rnacentral:lncRNA from 12 species
GGAUAAGGGGGUGGCAGUAAAUGUCAUUUUCCAGGGGUGAAAAUGUUUGGAGGAGAGUUAACCUUGCACACUUUGCAUUUGAGAUGUUUUAAUUUGCUGUGCAGUAUACACAUAGAUAAAUAAGGCAGUGAUGGGCUUUCAGCCUCACCGGACACCCAGGUCUCCUUAAAUUAUGCUCAACCUCUUCAAAACAUGUAUUUAAACAAUAGAAAUAAACUUCACUGGGGUCUGGCUACCAAUUUGGAAGCCAUUGGAAGGGAAGACAAUAAGUCCUGAUUACACUCAAGGAUUCUCUGUGAUGUGAUAUCCCCUUUGCCAAGUAAUUUUGCUGUUUUAUUUAUUUAUUUUCUUUUUUUUUUUUAACAAACUUUCAUUCAUUUAUGGUCUUCCGCAACCUGCUAAUUUAACACUGGAGCGCGUUAUUGCAGUGUUAGGAGGAGAGAAAGAGGGAGAGAAAACAACAAUACUGCAAUGAUCCAAAUGAUACAGUAGAAUUAUAGCAAUUAUAGUUCUACUUGUGGAAGAAAACCUUGCUGAGAUCAGGCAAACAAACUGAAGCCUUGUGAGGAUAACAAGCGUCGGGAUUGACAGCCGGUGCUGGGAAGAGCCGGAGGGCACAAACAGAAAUAUUUGCCUCACCCCUACCCCCCCUUAACUCCAACCAGCCAAGGUUAACUUCCUCAGAUGCUGCCUUCAGAGUCUUAUCCACUUCGGGGUAUACAUUUCAUGCACAAAUCGUGGUCUCUCCUCGUGGAAGCCUGAUAAUAGGAGGAAAUAGGACAUAAUCCGCUUGCCUAGCACUUGCCCCUCGCCUUGUCUGCCCCCUGCUUGCCCUCCACCCCCCACCCCUGCCUCAGUCCUCCCCAAGGCUGCUGGGAUCCGUCCGUGGACGGUGUUGUUUGUUGAUGUGUUUUCCAAGGAUCAGCCCUUGGAAACGUCCAAAGGGACUGACAACUUGGAUUGCUAGGGAAGACUCCUUGGCGUGUGUCGUGCCCCCUUCUUCGCCGUGUAGUCCGCCCGAACCCCGAGCUCCGCCAGCACCGCUCAGCUGGGAGAGGUUUGCUGGGAAGCAGAGCUUUCGGGAGCGUCCCGAGGAGCGCGGCCGAGCCCUCAAGCCGCCGGACGGCGGGCCCCUGGGUGCGGCCAGGGUCGAGGCGGCCGCCGAGCGGCCAGCGUUGUUCCGCAGCUGUUGCUCCCGGCGCCCCCGGACCUGGGGGGUGUAGGGCGCACGGAUUGCAGCUCACGUCAGGAGCAGCGAGGGACCCGACGCCCGCGUCAGUCCCGAGGCCCAAGCAGACCCCCGCGGUCGGCGUCCUCGCCGCGGAGCCCCCCUCUCGGCUCGGCUCGGCUCGGCUCGGCGCCACGGCCAGAGCGCGCCCCCUAGCGGGGGUCUCCGGGUGGGCCGGGCCCUUCCCCGCAGCCUCUGGGCGCUGAAGUUGGCAGAUCCCAGUGAUACUGCAGGAAUGAAUGGGGGAAGAAAACAAAAGCCUUGGAAACAUUUCCAAGUGUGCAAUAAAAGACCCAUCUGUACCUUUCUUCUCCA